rnacentral:rRNA from 1 species
CCAUAGCGACUAUCGUGGCAUAUCAAUAAGCGGAGGAAAAGAAACUAACUAGGAUUCCCUUAGUAACGGCGAGUGAAGCGGGAAGAGCUCAAAUUUGAAAUCUUCAAGGUUCUACCUUGACGAAUUGUAGUUUAUAGAAGUGUUUUCUGUUAGUAGAGUGGCAAAAGUUCUAUGGAAUAGGACAUCAUAGAGGGUGAGAAUCCCGUAUUUGGUCAUUCUUUCUAGCUUUGUGAUACACUUUCAACGAGUCGGAUUGUUUGGGAAUGCAGUCCAAAAUGGGUGGUAAAUUUCAUCUAAAGCUAAAUAUUGGCGAGAGACCGAUAGCGAACAAGUACCGUGAGGGAAAGAUGAAGAAGAACUUUGAAAAGAGAGUUAAACAGUACGUGAAAUUGUCAAAAGGGAAGCGUUUGACACCAGUGUUGUUUUUUCCGAAAAUCAAUUACGAAUGUUUUAUUUUUGAGAAGUUAUGACUUCAUCGGCUUGCUUCUCUCUUUAUGAAACUUUCUUAAUGCACUUUUCGGUUAACAAGUCAACAUCAAUUUCUUUUGUUGUAAAAGGGUAUGAGGAAGGUGGCUUUCUUUUCGGAGAAAGUGUUUAUAGCCUUGUACCUCUGCAAUCGGAGAGAUUGAGGUCUGCAGCGUAGAUCCUUCGGGGUUAGAUACAUUUGUGCUAAGUUAUAGCUUUUCAUAGACAACUUGUUGACUAUGUUUAGUCUUGUAGCUUACUCGCUUAUGCUAUUUUACCUACGCUUAGGAUGUUGACGAGACUGUCGAUCUC